UAAAAGUAAACUUUUGUAUGCAGUUGGAACAGCGCCCCUAGCGCAAAGGUAGGAAAACUUUCCAACUGCAUACAAAUUUGAGUUA
rfam:Bombyx mori DNA, contig: Bm_scaf51_contig26572, strain: p50T/Dazao, build 2, whole genome shotgun sequence.